CACCGCCCGUCAAGCCACGAAAGUGGGGGGCAUCCGACAUCGGCAAUGCAACCGCAAGGAGCUAGCCGCCUAAGAUGAACUCCGCGAUUGGGACU
rnacentral:rRNA from 1 species